GACGAACGCUGGCGGCGUGCCUAAUACAUGCAAGUAGAACGCUGAAGGAGGAGCUUGCUUCUCUGGAUGAGUUGCGAACGGGUGAGUAACGCGUAGGUAACCUGCCUGGUAGCGGGGGAUAACUAUUGGAAACGAUAGCUAAUACCGCAUAAGAGUAGAUGUCGCAUGACAUUUGCUUAAAAGGUGCAAUUGCAUCACUACCAGAUGGACCUGCGUUGUAUUAGCUAGUUGGUGAGGUAACGGCUCACCAAGGCAACGAUACAUAGCCGACCUGAGAGGGUGAUCGGCCACACUGGGACUGAGACACGGCCCAGACUCCUACGGGAGGCAGCAGUAGGGAAUCUUCGGCAAUGGACGGAAGUCUGACCGAGCAACGCCGCGUGAGUGAAGAAGGUUUUCGGAUCGUAAAGCUCUGUUGUAAGAGAAGAACGAGUGUGAGAGUGGGAAGUUCACACUGUGACGGUAUCUUACCAGAAAGGGACGGCUAACUACGUG
rnacentral:rRNA from 1 species